CUGGGAGAGCCCUGAAGCCCCUGCUGCAUGCAUACUGCACCCUGCUGCANCUAUUGCUGUCCGCACAAUGUUCCCAUCCCAUCCCCAUUCCCAUCCCCAUCCCAAAAACUGUGCCCAUUCCAUCCCAUAUCCUCAUCCCCAUGCCCAAACCUGUGCCCAUUCCAUCCCAAACCCCAAACCUGUGCCCAUCCCCAUCUCCAUGCCCAAACCUAUGUGCAUCCCUACUCUUCCAUUCCAUCCCAUCCAAUCCCAUCCCUAAACUCGUGCCCAUCCCAUCCCCAUCCCUGCACCCAUCCCAUUUCUAUUCCAUCUCAUUCAAUCCCAUCCCCAAGUCUGUGCCCAUCCCAUCCCCAUCCCAUCUCAUCCCAUCCCCUCUUGUNCCCAUCCCCAAAUCUGUGCCCAUCCCAUCCCCAUCCUAUCUCAACCCAUCCCACCCCAUCCCCAUCCCCAAACCUGUGCCCAUACCACCCCACCCCGCACCUUGCCGUCGCUCUGCCUCUUGCCCAGCUUGGUCUCCUCGGGGUGGUAGAACCACUUCACCUUCACCACCAUGUUGCUGCCCCAGGACUCCCACAUGCUCUCGAUGCGCCCGAUGUAGGGCAGGUUGGGCCGCCCGGCCGACAGGAAGACGGCGCAGUCCCCGAUGCGCAGCGUCUCCUUGCCCCGCACGAUGGCCUUAUAGAACAGCUUCCGUGCCUUCCCCUUCAUGCCCCGCCGCUGCAAGGAGCUCACGGUCAGGGCUCUGCACACCCCGACCCCACGCAUCCCACAGCACGCUCCAUCCACCCUGCCCCUACGCACCCACACCAUGCUCACACCCAGCAUCCUGCACCCUGCAAUGCAUCUGCACACCUGCAGGCUGUGCUUCACGCCCCGUGCACUUGAAGCACCCAUGGAUCCUACCCACUGCACUCUGCUCCAUGCACCAUGGGCCUGCACACACACAAGACCGUGCCCCGUGUUCCAUGUGUUUGCUCAAAGCACUCUGCACCCACAGGUCCUACCCGUGCACCCUGUUCCACACACCACGCUCAUCCUGCUCCACGCACCUUGCAUCCUGCCAUGCCCCUCUGCACCUACAGAUCCCGCACCGUGCUCCAAGCACUCUGCUCUAUGCCCCCUGCAUCCAGACAUGCAUCCACACAUCCCGCACUCACUCACUCUCAGCCAGGCACCAAGCACACCGCACCACGCUCUCCGCACCCACACACCCUACGCCCUGCACCACGCUGCACUGUUCCACGCACCCUGCACGCUGCCACGCAGCUGCGCACCCCCAAUGCUGCUCUGAGCACGCUGCUCCACACACCACACACCCACACACCGUGCCCCACGCUGCACGCACUCACCCUGAGUGCCCCACUGCUCUGUGCCACCGGCGCCGCCCGUACCUGCGUGGGGUUCCCCGACCACCUCCAGAGCUGGCGUGCGGGCAGGAAGGCGGAGAUCUUUGGCCGGUUUUCCACCGAGGGCAGCCGCUGCCUCCGGGAGAACUCUUUGGCUUUGGAGAAGCUGAGGGCCUCCUUGCGCUUGAGCUUGGCCUUGGGGCCGGCGGCAGCCGCCUUGGUGAGGAAGCAGCGCUGCGGCGCGGAGCCUUUGGAGCGCAGAGCCUCGGGCUGCGCCAGCAGCGCCGGCACCGGGUGCGAGAGGCAGGUCUGCAGCAGCAGCGCCGAGUCCUCGUCCUCCGAGCUGUACGACGAGUCCUCGUUGUCGGAGGAGCAGAGGCUGGAGGUGGAGAUGGAGCCGGAGCUGGAGGAGGUGGAGGAGCCCGAGGAGGAGGAGGACACCGACAGGCGGGUCAUGAAGCGCGAGGGCACAUCGGCACCCAGCCCGCCCGCAUCCUCCUCCUCGUCCAUGUCCGAGUAGGAGCUGUGGCAGUCGCUGUCGCAGUUCAGGCUGAACUCGGCCUGACCCGAGUACUUCCGCAGCGCCAGCCCCACGGGCAGCGGGUGCACGGCCGCCCGCCCCUUCCUCUCCUUGCCCAGCGCCGAGUGCGCGUAGCCGCUGGCCAGCGGCCGCUCCAGCUUGGCCCCAAAGUCCUUCUCGCCCAGCAGCAGGGCCUUGCAGUUCUUGUUCUUGGGGGACGUCACCCCUUCGUGGUCCAGCUUCACCAGGAACUCGCCUCCAGCCCUGCGCCGGCUGCCUUUGCCCAUCUCAGUCUCCAGCCGCUCCGCCUUCUUGCAGCGCAGCAGCUUCUGUGCGGCCGGCAGCACCAGCCCGGCGCCGGCCCCGAAGGACGCGUAGGAGCUGGCGAUGCGGCUGAACGAGUCGGCCCCGAAGCCGUUGCCGAAGACGGGAGCGGCGACGUGGUGGUGCACGGGGAACAGCGCCUCCUUGGCACGCAGCUUCUUGGUGCUGCCGUUCACCUGGAAGAGGUUCUGCAGCACGGCCGUGCCUUUGCUCGCCGCCUUCCGCUUCGUCUGUGCCACCGCCGACCAGCUGAGCAGGGGGCCGCCCCGCCGCCCCAGCGGCUCACCCAGCGCCGGCGCACGGCUGCCCGACAGCAGCUCCAGGGCUUUGCCUGCGGGAGGACAGCGGUCACAGCCUCAGUUCCAUGCUGCAUCCCCUCCUCCUGCAUCCCUGCCUCUCCUCCCCACGCCUGCAUCUCUCCCUGCCUCCCCUCUCCCUGCCCGCAUCCCUGANAGGCGGGCGCGCACCCCCCGCUCACUCACUUGACCUUGCGGCUCUCGGCCCGGCCCAGCGUGCUGCAGUGCUUGCGCUUCCUCGGCCGCCCCGGCCCGCGCCGCGCCGGGCUCCGCGAGCUCUCGUCGCGCCUGCAGCCGCGGGGCGACACCGGGGGCAGCCUGAGCCGGGCUGAGUACGGCCGGAGCUCAGUGCACCGAUGAGCGCUGCCCGUGUGAUGCUCAGCGCGGCCCCCAACUCCCUGUGCUCGUGGGCGCCACCCCGAGUGAUGCCACGGGGCUGAGAACGGCCCCCAACUCAUCACACCGCUGAGCGCCAGCCGUGAUACCACCGGGCUGAGCGCAGCCCUGAGAACUCAUCGCACUGAUGAACGCUGCCCUUGCAACGUCGCCAGGCUGAGCACGGCCCCGAACUCAUCGCACCAGUGAGUGCUGUGCCUUGACGCCGCUGGGCUGAGCACUGCCUCGUAUUCGUUGCACCGGUGACAACCGUGCAGCCCCCAGUCCCAACCCCAGGGCUGCACCCCCCGCUGUGGGAUGGGGACCUACUCGUGGUCAUGCCGCCGCUGCAGCUUCACCAGCUCACGCUGCUUCUCCUUGUAGCGCCUCUGCAGCUCAGCCAGCCGCAUCCGCACCUCCACCUCCUGCGUGUUGAGCUGCUCGAUGGCCGCCUUCAGUGGGCACACCUGGGGACGGGGACAAGGCCGCUCACCCCGGGCACGGCUCACCCAGCACAGUGUGGUGGUGCGGGGUGGGGGGACGCUCGCUCACCGCCUUGGUUUUGGGGGUCCAGGUGUACUUGCGGCGUGGCACGCGGGCACGGGGUGGAGGGGAGGUGGGCAGGGGGCUGAGCGCCGGGGGGCUGCCCUCCCGGCUGGCCGCCUCCACCAGCGACCAGGCAGCUGCCACCGUGGCCAGGUUCUGUAGGUUGAAGGCCAGCAGGUCCUCGUCUUCCCCUGCAGAGAGCUGAGGUCAGUGGGGACACACCAGGACUCCCCUGUCCCAUCCCAGAGCACGCUGCGCUGGAGCGGCACUGACUCCACAUAUGGGGACAGCACCCGUGGGUGGGCGUGGGGAGCACUCUCAGAAGGUUUGGGGAUCCAGGGGCACACAGGGGUCUGUGGGGCAUGGGGUGCUGCAUGCACACACUGCCACAGUGCAUCCACAGAGCACGGGGAUGGCACAAAGGGCGCAGUGUGUCCCCAGGGUGCUGCGGGGAUGGGUGCAUGGCAGCGGCCAGCGAUGAACUCAUCGGUGCACAGAGCCAAGGCCGGGGUGGGGAGGGACGCAGUGAUGCACCCCAACCAGAGCCCCAUCUGUGGAAGGGGGCUCCGUGGGGGCUCCAUGGCCCCCACACAGGCUCACAGCCCUAUAGCAAGGCACAGCCAGCACCGAGCACACAGGGCCCCGCGGCCGCCCGCCCGCUGCAGAGGCGCUGGGGAGGUGCCAGGGCCUUCCCUGCAGGGGCCCCCGGGAUUCCCUGGGGAAGCCGAGCUGGGAGGGAAUCCCGGCGCCUGCCUGGAGCCAGCGCUGGAGCAGAGCCCCGAAGAUGGCCCUGGGCUGUGAGCAGGGCCCUGCUGUCGGGCACCGUGCUGCUGCUGCACACCGCGUGCAAAAGGCACGUGCAGCCCUGCACAGCACAGACAUGGUUCAAACACACACAAAGCCCUGAGCUGCAGAUACGUGGUGCAAGCAUGCAAAAAGCCCUGCGCUGCAAACGUACGGUGGAAGCAUGCACAACGGCCUGUGCUGCAAACAUACAAGUCAUGGACACGCAAGCUCUGCAGUGGAAACGCACAUGGUCCUGCUCUGCAAAUACGUGCACGGCGCUGCACUGAGAGCAUGCACAGCUCGUGCAUGCAGCGCUGUGCUGUGAAGGCACACAAAGCUCUGCACCGCCAGCACGGCACGCACAUGGCCCUGCACUGUGAAUGCACACUGUGAGUGUGCAUACAGCCCCUCCUCUGCUGCACAGCACGGCUCUGCCCAGCACAGCCCUGCACACACGCUGCAGCCCCUCCACUGCACGACCUCCGCGUUGCAUGCACUGCACAGAGCAUCCUUGGGGGGCACCGUGGGGCACAGCAAUGGGGAGGGGGCACAGCAAUGGGGAGGGGGGCCGCUCACCUUCCAUGGCCAAGUCACAGCGGCGUUGGCGCAGCUCCAGUUCGGCCAGCUCGCUGAGCAGCGCGAUGCCAGGCAGCCCCACAGCGCAGGGUGCAGGAGAAGGGGGUGCUGGGGGGGGCUCCCCGGGGGACCCCAGUGCUGGCAGCUCCCCCAGGUCAAUGCCGGCGGCAAUGAGAGCCUCCAGCCCUCCUGUGCAGCACUGCUGCCUGCUGGGUGCACGGUUGGAGCCAUCGUCCUCCUCCUCAUCACAGCUGCCCUCCGGCCCUGAGCCUUCGCUGUCACCUUCUUCCUCUUCUUCAUCCUCCUCCUCCUCCUCUUCCUCCUCGCCGUCCGGGGGGCCCAGCGGGGAGGAUCCCUCCGUGGGCACUGGGUGCUGCUGCUCUACAGAGCUCUGCUCCAACACCGCCGCCGUUUCCCUGCACACUCCAAAGUUCUCCUCUCCGGGCACAGCGCCCGGCGCCGCAGCCAGCAGCAGGUGGUGGCGGUGCAGCAUGGCACCCGGACCCUCGGCUGCAGCCCCCGUGGACGGCAGCUCCCGCGCAGCACUGGGCUCCUCAGCCGGGCUGAAGGUCCGUGACUGCUCGGGUUCAGCUGGCGGGGAGCCUGCCUGCAUGGUGUCGGGGUCGGCGGGCUCGGCAGGGGGCACCUCCGAGAAGCCCAUGCUGGACGCGGGGUAGCUGUACCCUGGGGGCAGGUCUGCAGGGAGCAAGUGAUGCUCAGCGUGAGCUCAGCGCCCAUCCCCACCUCCUCCUCCUCCUCCUCACUGCCACGCCCCUACCUGGCUCCAGGGACUUGGGGUAGUCACGGGGCGGCUGUCCCUCCCCACGCUUGUCCUCGCCGUCGCUGCCCUUGCUCUGCACGGGGACGGGGCUGUCAGCCGGGGAGCGCGGGGCCACGGCGGAGCUGGCGGUGGGGCAGACGGGUAAAGUGCAGGGGGCCGUGGGGAGCGCCACGGGGCACUUGGCCGGGUGCCGCAGGGCCGGGGAGUGGCAGCAAGGGGACAGCUUGGGGGGCCCAGGCGCCGCCGAGGACAUGCCCUUGGCCGGAGGGUUUAAGGCAACUGCUUUGUGAGAGGGCUUGAGGGGCUUCUCGGGACCCAUGUCCUCCAGCUCCAGGGGCUGCUCCUCCGGCUUGCGCUGCAGGGAAUGAGGUCAGCAUGUGUCCCUGCAACACAUCCAGCCCUGCAUCCCACCCAGCAGCAUCCCGCCGUCCCAGCCCCGCAUCCCAGCCCCACGUCCCACCCCAACGCAGCCCCCACACAUCCCCACGGCACCUGGACGUGAGCCUGGCGCUGGAUCUCGAGGGCCUGGGCCGCCCGCUGCUGCUGCAGGGCGUAGAGCUCCUGCUGCCGCAGGAACUGGGAGCGCGAGUACACAGGCAGCUGCCCCGUGUGCUGCAGGUGGGCGCCGGGACCCCGGCCUGGGUACAUGGGGGGCCACAGUGACGCCUGGUCCAUCACGUCAGCUGCAAGCAAUGGGGGGGGAGGAGGAGUCAACCGUGGACCCAAGAGAAGGUCAUCCUGCAGACCCUAAAGGUGCAUCCUCUCCCAUCCUGCACCCCCCAAAGGGACCCCCCAUCUCCCACUCUUGCACCACAGCUGCACCCACAUGGACUCCCCCACUGUCAAUCCCUGCACCCCUCCCAGCACAGAUGAGCACCUGGGAUGGGGUCAUCCUGCGGGCACUAAAGGCGCACUCCCAGAAUCCCAUCUC
rnacentral:lncRNA from 1 species